rnacentral:lncRNA from 1 species
CGCUAUCCUUCAGGUAAACGUUGGGUAAACUCUUGAUCUGAUGCAAUAGCCUGUAAAUCACGUCAGUCAGGUAAACCGUACUAGACAAUCCCUAUGCGACAGGCUCGAUCAAGCAAGUAUUGGUAGGGGGAAUCGAACUCGUGAUCAAAGGUUUCCGCGCUCACCUACUCCGUCAACUCGAUCACCCCAUAUGAGGCUACUUUUCUUCUAAUCUACCUCUCGACUAAAGGAGGUUCAACAAAAUGAAUCAUGCAAUAGGCCUUUUCAUUUCUUAGGGAAUGGAGGCGGCUCUUUCACUAUCAAUUGACAAGGUCGAAGUUACUCUAUUUAAUCA